rnacentral:misc_RNA from 1 species
UGGUUCUGGCAUCGAUGAAGAACGCAGCGAAAUGCGAUAAGUAAUGUGAAUUGCAGAAUUCAGUGAAUCAUCGAAUCUUUGAACGCACAUUGCGCCCGCCAGUAUUCUGGCGGGCAUGCCUGUUCGAGCGUCAUUUCAACCAUCAAGCCCCGGGCUUGUGUUGGGGACCUGCGGCUGCCGCAGGCCCUGAAAGACAGUGGCGGUCUCGCUGUAGCACCGAGCGUAGUAACUAAAACCUCGCUAAGGCUGCUCUGCGGGCUCCGGCCGUAAAAACCCCUUCUAACACAAGGUUGACCUCGGAUCAGGUAGGAAUACCCGCUGA